rnacentral:rRNA from 1 species
UACGAAGGCCCCGAGCGUUAUCCGGAUUUAUUGGGCGUAAAGAGUGCGCAGGUGGUCUCGCACGUCUCGCGUUAAAUGUCACUGCUUAACAGUGUCACCGCGCGGGAUACGACGAGACUAGAGCAUGUAAGAGGUGACUAGAAUUCACGGUGUAGGGGUGAAAUCCGUUGAUAUCGUGGAGAAUACCAAAGGCGAAGGCAGGUCACUGGUACAUUGCUGACACUCAGGCACGAAAGCGUGGGGAGCAAACGGG